rnacentral:rRNA from 1 species
ACCCGCUGAACUUAAGCAUAUCAAUAAGCGGAGGAAAAGAAACCAACAGGGAUUGCCCUAGUAACGGCGAGUGAAGCGGCAACAGCUCAAAUUUGAAAUCUGGCUCUUUUAGAGUCCGAGUUGUAAUUUGCAGAGGGCGCUUUGGCGUUGGCAGCGGUCCAAGUUCCUUGGAACAGGACGUCACAGAGGGUGAGAAUCCCGUACGUGGUCGCUAACCUUCGCCGUGUAAAGCCCCUUCGACGAGUCGAGUUGUUUGGGAAUGCAGCUCUAAAUGGGAGGUAAAUUUCUUCUAAAGCUAAAUACUGGCCAGAGACCGAUAGCGCACAAGUAGAGUGAUCGAAAGAUGAAAAGCACUUUGGAAAGAGAGUCAAAUAGCACGUGAAAUUGUUGAAAGGGAAGCGCUUGCAGCCAGACUUGCCUGUAGUUGCUCAUCCGGGCUUUUGCCCGGUGCACUCUUCUGCGGGCAGGCCAGCAUCAGUUUGGGCGGUUGGAUAAAGAUCUCUGUCAUGUACCUCUUUUCGGGGAGGCCUUAUAGGGGAGAUGUCAUGCAACCAGCCUGGACUGAGGUCCGCGCAUCUGCUAGGAUGCUGGCGUAAUGGCUGUAAGCGGCCCGUCUUGAAACACGG